CAGGGGUAAACCUGAGAAAUCCAAAAGAUCGAAUGGGGAGAUUCAUCCUCUGCGUCGUUGGCUUCCGUGUGUCGCGCGAUGCUCGGGACUUGUCCUGUGGCACGCCGGCACUGCGGUUUGUCCGGCGGCGCGGUGGUGCACUUCUCCCCUAGUAGGACGUCGCGACCCGUUGGGUGUCGGUCUACGGCCCGAUGCGUCGACUGUUGUAACACGUUCACGCGUGCACGCGACAGACGCUCGGUCGCCCGACCGGCUGCCCGGCGGUAUCGAAAGCUAACUUAAACUGGUAUAGAGCCGCAUUAAUUGCGUCCGACUCGUCGGCCGGCUCGUCUCGCUCGGAUUUACGGACUUUGUGCCGUUGUCGAGCGCUUGACGGGCUAUUCAGGUCGCGCGAUGUACUCGGACUGGCUCGACGCAUUCAUUCGUGGAUGUACCGGUCAGCGACGCUACUGCUUUGGAUACUUUCAGGACCCGUCUU
rnacentral:rRNA from 1 species